rnacentral:rRNA from 1 species
GAUGCAGCAAUGCCGCGUGAGUGAAGAAGGCUCUUGGGUCGUAAAGCUCUUUCGGCAGGAAAGAAGCCUUUAUGUAUAAAUAAUGCAUGAGGGUGACGGUACCUGAAGAAGAAGCACCGGCUAACUCCGUGCCAGCAGCCGCGGUAAUACGGAGGGUGCAAGCGUUGUUCGGAAUUAUUGGGCGUAAAGAGCACGUAGGC